rnacentral:rRNA from 1 species
UACGUAGGGAGCAAGCGUUGUCCGGAUUUACUGGGUGUAAAGGGUGCGUAGGCGGCUUUGCAAGUCAGAAGUGAAGUCCAUGGGCUUAACCCAUGAACUGCUUUUGAAACUGCAGAGCUUGAGUGGAGUAGAGGUAGGCGGAAUUCCCGGUGUAGCGGUGAAAUGCGUAGAGAUCGGGAGGAACACCAGUGGCGAAGGCGGCCUGCUGGGCUCUAACUGACGCUGAGGCACGAAAGCGUGGGUAGCAAACAGG